UCCCACGUCGAGAGCUGGAGCUACCUUUAAUGUUCACACGUUAUAGCAGACAACAAUCAACCUACGCACAGAGUACGUGUGAAACUAAUUUCCACUAAAAACUGUGAAGUAUUUAACAUGCAAGUACAUACCUCUCCCACGUUCCAUUCCUGGGAGUCCCUUGGAGGCAGGGCUGAAGCUGUUUGAGGCCGGAGCCCUCGGCCUCUCACGUCGCUGGUAAAGCACAAAAUAGAGCUAUAUACGUGCUAUAUACGGUAUAAUACUUACUUGUUUUACAUUCAACCACUUUGUCGUUAACCAUUCCCUGAUGAUCUUUCCAUACUCCAGAUUCAUUCACUGCUGACUUAUAUGCACUAGUAGCAUCAAUAGAAGGAGCCCAGGCACAAGCGCGGAGAAAAGUGAGUAACUGUUCUGCUUCUGAUUCACUCAAACCAUGUUUGUGAUCCUUGACCCAACGUCCCCAUGCUUGUUCCCUGUGAAAGUCACACAAGUACACAGUAAUUGUGAAAAACUUGUUCUAGGGCCAUAAGCUCUGCCUCGGAAUAGUCAGUCAUGAAAUAUGAUGUAGGGUUCCACUCUUUCAAUUUUAACAAGGCUUCACGAAUAUUUUCUGACGUUUCACUUUGAACUACAAACUCUGCAACGACAGAGUAGCCGAUAAAGAAUAAAGCUAGAUCAUAUUUCGUAGUUUUGUAGGUAGCAUCAAUCAAGUUGUUGCUCCAAAGUAGGUUUUGUUCGUAUUGACCUGUAUCGGUUAUCGUUUUAUUCUCAUCUCCACCGUCAUUGCCAUUGAAGUAGGUGGUGAACAUGAAUCACUGUCUUCGUCACCAUCCUUGACAUGAUAUGGACGAAAAAAGUGAGUGCUUUCGGGAUCCGUGACUUUCCAUUGCUCAAUCUUUUGACGUACAUUAUGUUGGUCGAGGAAGGGUGAUUCUUUAGGUCAUUGGCGAUAGCUCGGGGCAUUCUUUACAUAGAUCUUUCAUGACGUAGUGUCGUAAAAGUCUACUAACUUCAGUAAUUCCUUCACCCACUAAUUCUGUGAUUUUUUUGCAGCAUCUAUUCUCUUAGAGUAUAAUUUUAUGUUCAAGAGUACACAGGGCAGAUGGCAUAGGGGUCAAAAGUCACUUGAUUGAGUAUUGAAUCUGCUCCAAAAAUCAGAGCACAUGGCUUUACUCUCACCCUGUGUGCUGCUGUCAUUCUAUAUCCAUCAAGUGUAUUAUUGCAUAGAUACAAGUAUCUAUCAUGACAUAGUUCUAUAGUGCAAGUUUACAAUGCGAAGGAAUGGAAGAUUUCUGAUGCAAUCAGCUGAAGACAUAGCUGAUCAAAAUAAUCACUACCAAUUCACAAGCCCGACCUCAAGCUAGGAGUCAUCUUCAGCACCAACAUCGCCAUCGUCCUUACCAACAAAAUCAGAGCUUGUAUUCUGGGUCACGUACUAGUACUCUGGUGAUGAACUAGAAGGUGAUGAAAAUGCUAGCCCUGACCCUCAAGACCGUUUUCUAACUCUUGUCACAAGGAACACUACACCAGAUUAUGUUGACUCAGGGUAGACUCAGGGUAUGGGAGCAAGGCCAGGGCUCGGAUCAGGGGCACUUCUCCAAAAACAACAGCAUUUAUUACAGCAAGUUGUAAGAAGGAGAGCUAAGCUGAAUGAGAUUGCAGCAAAAUGAUUCUAGAUCGUGGGCGAAAGAUGAGGAUAAGUCGAGACCUUACAAGAAUGACAGAAGCGAUCUAUGACAGCUUUGAAAAUGGGAUAAGAUAGUAAGUGAGAUAUGUGGAUCACCAGAAUUGAAGUACAAAGAGGAAGUAGUGAAAGCUGCUGUUCAAAGAAAGUACGGGCUGACUGUAUUGAGAUCACCAGAAAAGUUCAAACCUCAAAAAGAUACCGAGCUAGACGAGCUAGACGAAAGAGAGUGAGAUAAACGAUAAACGUCAUUAAUUUACCUGUGUGUUUUAAGAACGCUCGUCAGCAGCUUUGGGGCCAGCGACGAUAUGUCCGAGGAAUCUGACGACGAAAUAAAUCCAAACAAUUUAGUUGUUCAGUGGUGCUCACAAGGUGAGUACGUACUGGCGUGCUAAUUCAUUAAUUUAUCUCCUCAGAGUUUAAUGAUCUUAAAAAGGAAUAGACUUAACUCAAUGGAAUGUGCAAUUAGUUUCCUGUGCUGCUGCCACGCCCAUUUUACUAUCAAAUGUGCAUGAAAAUGAUCACUUCAGUUGCAACUGCAUUCUGUACUGCCAUGUGCUUGAUCUAUUUACAUGCAAAAUUGAACUAUUGCACGAGUGAUUGUUAGCAAGCGCAGGAGCUACAGCCCACAGAAAACAAGCAACCUUCAGUGAGAGUGGCAACAAGAUUUGUUGCAGAAAAAUCACUCUUACUGGUUGGAUUACUGUCUUACCUGCUUGUUUUCUGUGGGCUGUAGCGCUUGCUAACAAUCACUCUUGCAUUAUUCAAUAGCUAAACUUCAAUUUUGCAUGCAGUCUUGCAUAAAUAGAUCAAGCACAUGGCAGUACAGAAUGCAGUUGCAACUAAAAUGAUCAUUUUCAUGCACAGUUGAUAGUAAAGUGCGCGUGACAUCAGCACUUCCGUCCCCCAGACUGCUGGAAAAGCUAAUUAACUCUUAACUCUCCUUCUCUCCUUCUACCGUAGUGUGAAAUUGGACAAACGAUAUUUUGAAAAGCCAGAAAGACCAGAAUUGAAGGAUCCCCGUCUAUAAUUAUUGCAGAACAUUUUUACAUGUACCUUAGCUUAAUACAUAAUGCUCCAGAUGCACUCUACAUGUAGAGUUUCUCCUUUCCAGGUGCCUAUAUAAUGAUGACUAAAUGUAGUUUAAUGUAGUUAAACGUAGUUAACGAGGGAAUACACUAACCGCGGCCUUACCUCGAAGCCCACGAUCAUAUAGGCGUGGCUUCUGGUUACAUGCAUGCCUACCGCACAUGCGCAUCCAGUAUAGCAUCCUGGUUCCACGUGCUAAAGUACAGCUACUGUCAGCAAGCCACAGACAAAUUGGCUGCUCAAAUCUUAAGUCUGGCUGACUGUCUCAAGCUUAGCCUCUUCUACAACCCUCCCUCUCCUUAAUUGGCCCCACUGCGCUCUCUCAAGAGACAGAGCGCUCCUUUGUACCCAGGACUUGCCACAGACAAUAGGUGAGUGGCUUACACUCACAACAGCUGCUUUAUAGCACGAGCAUAGCGGCUCAACCUUAGGAUGCAGUUGCUCGCUAGCCCAGACGACAGGCCACUCACUGCUGUGGAAGCAGCCCUCAGGUACCCUCACGCUCAGCCCUGCCCAGGACUCGCCCACCCACACGGAAUCCCCGCCCAGGGCUUGCCCACACAUACACAUGUACACACACAGCCG